rnacentral:rRNA from 1 species
AGAGUUUGAUCCUGGCUCAGGAUGAACGCUGGCGGCGUGCCUAAUACAUGCAAGUCGAGCGAACGGACGAGAAGCUUGCUUCUCUGAUGUUAGCGGCGGACGGGUGAGUAACACGUGGAUAACCUACCUAUAAGACUGGGAUAACUUCGGGAAACCGGAGCUAAUACCGGAUAAUAUUUUGAACCGCAUGGUUCAAAAGUGAAAGACGGUCUUGCUGUCACUUAUAGAUGGAUCCGCGCUGCAUUAGCUAGUUGGUAAGGUAACGGCUUACCAAGGCAACGAUGCAUAGCCGACCUGAGAGGGUGAUCGGCCACACUGGAACUGAGACACGGUCCAGACUCCUACGGGAGGCAGCAGUAGGGAAUCUUCCGCAAUGGGCGAAAGCCUGACGGAGCAACGCCGCGUGAGUGAUGAAGGUCUUCGGAUCGUAAAACUCUGUUAUUAGGGAAGAACAUAUGUGUAAGUAACUGUGCACAUCUUGACGGUACCUAAUCAGAAAGCCACGGCUAACUACGUGCCAGCAGCCGCGGUAAUACGUAGGUGGCAAGCGUUAUCCGGAAUUAUU